GGCACCUCCCUCAGAACCUGACCUGGGUCCUGACGACCCCGGUCAUUGCUGCUGCCCCUGCUCCUGCCCCUAGAACUUACCUGUUCCCCCAUGACUAUGGCCUUCGAGGACGUGGCCACGUACUUGACCUCUGGGAGUGGGGGUGGAUGAACCAGGAGAACUGCAGGAACGCGACCUGCCCUGAUGCCAUCUGUCACGGACCUGAGAGUCAUUUCUUUGAAACGCAUUCAUUCGCCAGGAAAGACAGGCCUUCUGUCUUCCUGCUCCGUGGGAUAGACCACUGACUUCUGUAUCUCACGGCGAGCAGACAGACACACCUGGCCUAAUCACAUCUACAUGGACUGGCUUUUUGUGAUUUUUCUCUUCUCUGAUUCUACUGAACCCGGUUCUCUCACUCCCUCAUUCUCCCUUUUCCCAAACGCCCAAACUAGGUGGCGCUCAGCUCUUCCCCCUGGUAAAAGUAGCUAUUGAAUAAAAUCUUUCCGCCGCUUUAA